rnacentral:lncRNA from 10 species
CAGGGCAUUUGACAUGACUACAGCAGCCGUUAUCAAAGUGAAGCAGGCAUGAGACUCCCUUGGAGGGAUUCUGAAUAAAUUCGAUGUCUACAGGAAUUCAGAGGCCAAGGAGCCCAUGGAGGCCUGGAGAGAGGAGGCAGGGUGUCCCGGAGAAGGAGGAGGGCAGAGCACAAGCUGCUGCGUUUCUACUCUGCCUCCUGUGUCAGCAACUCUCCCCAUCCACAGGAAGGAGUCUGGGCAGAACUGAAGGUUGUCACAAGGAGCUGCUAAACAGAUCAAAAGGCAUUGAAGGAUGGAGUGACAUGAUAUAUGACCUGCCCAAUCCUUGACUGCACAUCACAUAAGCAGUCCUAAGGAUGUGAAGUAUAUGAUGCCACCAGUUGAAUGGAUUGAAGCUCCUACACGUACACUGUUGGUUUCAGAUUCUCUACUCUACAACAUCAGAAAAGAAUCUAUUUUUGGUGAGAUAACAAAUGUGCUAUGUUACUCUAGAAUAAAGACAUCUGUUUACUUACAAUUUUAAGUGAUAAGAGUUCUGCUUCUAUUUUACAGUAGACACUCUAAAGCUAAAAGAUGUAAAUCCAAACAGUGUCG